rnacentral:tRNA from 3 species
GCUCCCGUGGCGCAAUUGGUAGACGCACUAGACCGAGAUUCUAGUUUUUUACAGGUUCAAAUCCUGUCGGGAGUACCA